rnacentral:rRNA from 1 species
UGGGGAGUACGGCCGCAAGGCUAAAACUCAAAGGAAUUGACGGGGGCCCGCACAAGCGGCGGAGCAUGCGGAUUAAUUCGAUGCAACGCGAAGAACCUUACCAAGGCUUGACAUAUACCGGAAACGGCCAGAGAUGGUCGCCCCGCAAGGUCGGUAUACAGGUGGUGCAUGGUUGUCGUCAGCUCGUGUCGUGAGAUGUUGGGUUAAGUCCCGCAACGAGCGCAACCCUCGUUCUAUGUUGCCAGCACGUUAUGGUGGGAACUCAUAGGAGACUGCCGGGGUCAACUCGGAGGAAGGUGGGGAUGACGUCAAAUCAUCAUGCCCCUUAUGUCUUGGGCUUCACGCAUGCUACAAUGGCCGGUACAAAGGGCUGCGAUACCGUAAGGUGGAGCGAAUCCCAAAAAGCCGGUCUCAGUUCGGAUUGAGGUCUGCAACUCGACCUCAUGAAGUCGGAGUCGCUAGUAAUCGCAGAUCAGCAACGCUGCGGUGAAUACGUUCCCGGGCCUUGUACACACCGCCCGUCAAGUCAUGAAAGUCGGUAACACCCGAAGCCAGUGGCCUAACCCCUUGUGGGAUGGAGCUGUCAAGGUGGGAUCGGUGAUUA